GGAAGCUACUGUAAAGUACACUUCAGCUACAACAUCAAUAGACAAACGCUGGGGUUGCGAGUCACGCGGAACAUGCCGAAUCAAGCCCACUCCAAGGCAGCAAUCAACUGGACACCCCCCCACACCCCUGCUCCUCUGGCCUCUUCUCUGUACAGCCAUCUGGUUCCACACUACAAAGACACAAAGGACACCGGACCACCAGACCACUGUACUGGCUUGUGCUACCAUUGGGUGAUAUGACUCUGGGAUGUUUCCUGUCUACUUCCAAAAACAAAGAAAAGCAAAACUGUGAGUGCUGAUGGAUGUUUGUGUCUUUCACCAUCCAGGAAGUGAAGGGACAGCAAGGCUCCUGGUAAGGAAGUCAGCUUUGGAGUAGAGGAUGAGGAAGUCGUCACUACCCAGCCCUGCACAUUUGAACCCCCACUCACCACCAGCCCACUCUCAGGUGCUUCUGACACAAGACAGGCACCAACCUGACCUCCAAGCUUCUUUGGAAAGAAAUAUAGGCAAGUCUUCUUCUAUCGUUGAGAUUUAUUUUUAAGAAUCGGGGAAAUACAUAAAAAAGAAGCUUGAGGCAUGCAGAAGAGAGAAGCAUUUGGAUAUGUCACUUAAUCCGUCUGCUUCUCAGCUUGCUCAUCUGGGAAAGGGGCACAUGGAGCUAAGUGCCUCAUCAGCUCAGAAGUUCUCUUUGGUGGGGAAAGGGCUGUGAAAAGUGGGUCACAGGCCGGGAGCAAUCACCCCACCCCAUCUAAGCUGACUGGAGAUUCUCACUGGCCCAGAGUAAGACUGCCCUUACUGGGAUGGCCUAACAGAGGGUGUCAGCAUUUGUCUCUGGCUUCAGUCCUCAACCCACACACACACACACACACACACACACACACACACACACACACACACACACUCUCACACACUUUCUUCUCCCAGGCCUCUUCCAAGGGAUGGUUUGCAAAUGUGAACAAGGGGAUACACACAGUUUUGAGGAACUAUCUAGAAAAGUCAACACGCGAUUAGGCAGAAGUCUGUGAUAAGGCUCCUCCACGGCUUAAGGGAACACUAGGGAGGGACCAGAGCUCCCGCCUGCUUGCCAGCGGUUCCGGUGUUUACUGUGUCCGGGGCUGCGGCGGGACAACACGCGAUCAGCCCGCAGCUUGGCUCCAUCCCUUGGCUGUCUUGUGCCGCUCCCUACGGCUUUCUCUCCUUCCGUCUGUGUUACUGGCUCUCUCUCCUUUCCUUUCCGGGCACCGCUGUCCCUCUCCACCAUGCCCCUGUCUCC
rnacentral:lncRNA from 1 species